GGUGCUAUCGUCUAAUUGGAAAGACGCCCGACACUAAAAGAUAUUUAAAUUAUCUCGGGAAAUGUAGGUUCGAAUCCUAACAGCACCA
rnacentral:tRNA from 1 species